rnacentral:rRNA from 1 species
GAUCAUUAAUGGAUUACUUGGCUAGGCUGCUGCUGGCUCUUUUAGGGGAGCAUGUGCACGCCUUCCAAUAGUUGUUCAUAUACCCUAUGUGCACCUUUUGUAGGCUAAGAACAUCUCUCAAGGGGGGAGACCUCUUGGACUUUUGGGAACUGCUGCGUCUAUUUUUAGAACCAGCUGUUCUUGUGUUCCUAGUCUAUGUCUAUUCUAUAACACACCCCAUAUGCAUGUAACAGAAUGUGGUUUAAUGAGCCCUUUGUGGCUUUAAAAACUAAUACAACUUUCAACAACGGAUCUCUUGGCUCUUGCAUCGAUGAAGAACGCAGCGAAAUGCGAUAAGUAAUGUGAAUUGCAGAAUUCAGUGAAUCAUCGAAUCUUUGAACGCACCUUGCGCUCCUUGGUAUUCCGAGGAGCAUGCCUGUUUGAGUGUCAUUUAUUUCUCAAAUCAUGCAAGUGUGUUGCUGGCACUAGCACAACCACUUCAUGGUUUGGAUAUGGGAUUCUGCUGGUUUCUAAACAUGUCCAGCUGUCCUGAAAUGUAUUAGCAAGGCUCUUGUUGCUAGUGCUCAUGGUGUGAUAAAUAUCUAUGCCAACGAGUGUAGCUUUUAAGGGUGUCUGGCUUAUAACAGUCUCUCUUUAUGGGACAAAAUGCAUUCUGACCACUUGACCUCAAAUCAGGUAGG